rnacentral:rRNA from 1 species
UCACUUUCAACAACGGAUCUCUUGGCUCUCGCAUCGAUGAAGAACGCAGCGAAAUGCGAUAAGUAGUGUGAAUUGCAUAAUUCUGUGAAUCAUCGAAUCUUUGAACGCAAAUUGCACUCCCUGGUAUUCCGGGGAGUAUGCCUGUUUGAGGGUCGUU